UGGGGAAUUUUGGACAAUGGGGGAAACCCUGAUCCAGCCAUCCCGCGUGUGCGAUGAAGGCCUUCGGGUUGUAAAGCACUUUUGGCAGGAAAGAAACGUCAUGGGUUAAUACCCCGUGAAACUGACGGUACCUGCAGAAUAAGCACCGGCUAACUACGUGCCAGCAGCCGCGGUAAUACGUAGGGUGCAAGCGUUAAUCGGAAUUACUGGGCGUAAAGCGUGCGCAGGCGGUUCGGAAAGAAAGAUGUGAAAUCCCAGAGCUCAACUUUGGAACUGCAUUUUUAACUACCGGGCUAGAGGGGGUGAGAGGGAGGUGGAAUUCCGCGUGUAGCAGUGAAAUGCGUAGAUAUGCGGAGGAACACCGAUGGCGAAGGCAGUCCCCUGGGAUAACACUGACGCUCAUGCACGGAAGCGUGGGGAGCAAACAGG
rnacentral:rRNA from 1 species